ensembl:processed_transcript
AUGAUGCAUCUGUUCUUAGUUCUUCCCCUGGUGCUGAAAGUCCAGUCUAUCUCCAUGGGCCACAAUGUCACCUGUGACUGUAUCUGCCAUGAGGGAUUCAAAAGUGCUUACUGCUCCAACAAUAAUAUCACCCAACUGCCCAUCGCUCUUCCACCAUUCACAGAAACCCUGAAUCUGUCCCACAACCACCUGAACACCAUCCCCCCACGAGCCUUCAACACCACACGAAAACUGCAUUUCCUUUACCUGAACGACAACAAUAUUAGCAUGUUAGCAGACGGGGCGUUCUUUCUACUGGAAGGUCUUAGGUGGUUGGACUUGAGUCGAAAUCAAAUAUUAUCCUUAAGUGAAGGGUUUUCAAAGGGUCUCAGUUCCCUUCAAGGUCUUUCACUGGCUGAGAACAGAUUAACCAGCAUGGAUAGCAGUUAUUUUCUCCACAUGGACUCAUUACAAAGACUCAAUCUCAGCCAUAACUCCAUCCACACCAUCAAAAUGAGGGCGUUUGGGUCCAUAAGUACGCUACGCCAGCUACAACUUGACUGGAACAAAAUAACGAUCCUCAAUAAUGGUAUCUUUUCCAUGCUGCGAAAUCUUGAAGACUUAAAUUUGCAUCACAACCAGAUACAUAGCUUGGACGUCGGGGUACUUUCACCAUUGACCAGCCUUGGUAAACUAGACCUUACCAACAACAACCUCUCCACGAUUCAAUUCAAGACCUUCUUGAGUCUCAACACGUACAGCACUCACAUAAUGCUGCGGGGAAACCCCUGGCGGUGUGACUGCGAUCUCCAACGAGUCUUCCAGAAGCUCUGUAACGUCAAACGGCUCUUUCUGGAUGACUACGACAGCCUCACUUGCUACUCAUUUAACGACGAAUUUAACGGAAACCACACUGUUUUUAAAGCGGUUGAGCUCUGUGUUGCAGAGAUGGUUACUGUCCUGGUCAUUACAAUCACUGUGGUCAUCACGGUUGUGGCGGCAAUUGUCAUGGCGGAGAAAAAAAGGAAAAAGAAGAACAAGGAAAAGCAUUGGACGGAAGUCGGCGAGGUGUCCUGUGGAUCACAAGACUGA